rfam:Oryza barthii chromosome 5, whole genome shotgun sequence.
AAAAAGGCAAACCCUAUAUUUCCGUGUCCAACUUUAACUGUCCGUCUUAAUGAUAUUUUUUUAUAAUUCGUAUUUUCAUUGGUGUUAGAUGAUAAAACAUGAUUAAUAUUUUAUGCGUGACUUGUCUUUUUAAUUUUUUUCAUAUUUUUUUCAAAUAAGAUGGACGGUCAAACGUUGGGCACGGAAACCAGGGUUUGUCUUUUU